rnacentral:rRNA from 1 species
GACGAACGCUGGCGGCGUGCUUAACACAUGCAAGUCGAGCGGUAAGGCCCUUUCGGGGGUACACGAGCGGCGAACGGGUGAGUAACACGUGGGUGACCUGCCCUCAGCUCUGGGAUAAGCCUGGGAAACCGGGUCUAAUACCGGAUAUGACUCCAUGACGCAUGUUGUGGGGUGGAAAGCCUUGUGCGGCUGAGGAUGGGCCCGCGGCCUAUCAGCUUGUUGGUGGGGUGAUGGCCUACCAAGGCGACGACGGGUAGCCGGCCUGAGAGGGCGACCGGCCACACUGGGACUGAGACACGGCCCAGACUCCUACGGGGAGGCAGCAGGUGGGGAAUCUUGCGCAA